rnacentral:rRNA from 1 species
AGAGUUUGAUCCUGGCUUAGAAUGAAUACUGGCGGCAUGGAUUAGGCAUGUAAGUUGAAUGAGAAAGCUCCCUUUGGGGAGUGAGUACAGUGGCGAACGGGUGAGUAACGGGUGGAAAACCUGUCCUUCAAUGGGGGAUAACAGUUCUAAUGAGCUGUUAAUAUUGUAUAUGACCUUUAGACCGUAUGAUUUGAAGGUGAAAGGUGGCCUCUCUUUGAAGCUGCCGUUGAAGGAUGGUUCCGCCUCCCAUUAGCUUGUUGGUGGGGUAAUGGUUUACCAAGGCGACGAUGGGUAGCCGGCCUGAGAGGGUGUUUGGCCACACUGGGACUGAGAUAUGGCCCAGACUCCUACGGGAGGUAGCAGUUGAGAAGCUUCGGCAAUGGGCGAAAGCCUGACCGAGCGAUGCCGCGUGAGUGAAGAAGGCCCUAUGGGUUGUAAAGUUUUGUCAGAUUGGGAAGAAAACUCGGCGGUUAAUAUUUGUCGAGCUUGAUGGUAUUAUUAGAGGAAGCACCGGUUAAUUCCGUGCCAGUGUUUGUGGUAAUAUGGAGGGUGCAGGCGUUGUUCGGAUUCACUGGGUAUAAAGGGUGCGCAGGCGGCCUAAUAAGUCAGAGGUGAAAUAUGAUGGUUUAAUUUUUAAAUGGUUUCUGAAAUUGUUGGGCUUGAUUUCGAGAGAGGUAGGUGGAAUUCCGGGUGUAGUGGUGAAAUGUGUAAAUAUUUGGAGGAACACCGGUGGCGAAGGUGGCCUACUGGCUCGAUACUGACGCUCAGGCAUGAAAGCAUGGGGAGUGAAUGGGAUUAGAUAUCCCGGUAGUUUAUGCCGUAAACGAUGGGUACUAGGUGUUGGAGGAUUCUAUUCCUUCAGUGCCGCAGUUAAUGCAUUAAGUACCCCACCUGGGGAGUACGAUCGCAAGGUUGAAACUCAAAAGGAAUUGACGGGGGCCCGCACAAGCGGUGGAGCAUGUGGUUUAAUUCGAUGCAAUGCGAAGAACCUUACCUGGGCUUGACAUGCAGGGGACAGGUGUAGAAAUAUAUUUUUCUUCGGACUCCUGUACAGGUGCUGUAUGGCUGUCGUCAGCUCGUGUCGUGAAAUGUUGGGUUAAGUCCCGCAACGAGCGUAACCCUUGUCUUUAGUUGCCAUCAGGUAAUGCUGGGGACUCUAGAGAGACUGCCGGUGACAAACCGGAGGAAGGUGGGGACGACGUCAAGUCAUCAUGGCCCUUACGCCCAGGGCUACACACGUGCUACAAUGGUCGGUACAAAGGGCUGCAAUACAGCGAUGUGGAGCGAAUCCCAAAAAGCCGGCCUCAGUUCGGAUCGUAGUCUGCAAUUUGACUACGUGAAGUUGGAAUCGCUAGUAAUCGCGUAUUAGAAUGAUGCGGUGAAUACGUUCCCGGGCCUUGUAUAUAUUGCCCGUCAAGUCAAUUGAGUUGGCUGCACCCCAAGUCGUU